rnacentral:lncRNA from 1 species
CAUCUUACCAUAUUGUUGUUAUGUCGAGUUUUCAACCCGAGGGUUAAGUACAUACCUGUUCAAAGUAUCCAUUUCACAACAUUUACCAAUACGUCCCUUUCAUCUUGAGUAUUCCACCAUUUGAGUAGAAUUUUACCCGUUGAACACAUCGGAAUAUAAUUCGGAUACAUGGAAAGUUUGAACAUAAGUGCCACAUAUGUAGCGAAGCUACCAUGUAACCCGCCCA